AACGAACGCUGGCGGCAUGCCUAACACAUGCAAGUCGAACGAGACCUUCGGGUCUAGUGUCGCACGGGUUCGUAACGCGUGGGAACCUGCCCUUAGGUUCGGACUAACUCCCCGAAAGGGGUGCUAAUACCGGAUAAUGUCUUCGGACCAAAGAUUUAUCGCCUUUGGAUGGGCCCGCGUUGGAUUAGCUAGUUGGUAGGGUAAAAGCCUACCAAGGCGACGAUCCAUAGCUUGUCUGAGAGGAUGAUCAGCCACACUGGGACUGAGACACGGCCCAGAAUCCUACGGGAGGCAGCAGUGGGGAAUAUUGGAAAAUGGGCGAAAGCCUGAUCCAGCAAUGCCGCGUGAGUGAUGAAGGCCUUAGGGUUGUAAAGCUCUUUUACCCGGGAUGAUAAUGACAGUACCGGGAGAAUAAGCUCCGGCUAACUCCGUG
rnacentral:rRNA from 1 species